GGACGAUUAGCUCAAUGGUAGAGCGCUACAUUCACACUGUAGAGGCUAGAGGUUCGAUCCCUCUAUCGUCCA
rnacentral:tRNA from 1 species